rnacentral:rRNA from 1 species
AUGCCUCAGACAAGCAGGGCAGAUAAAUCGUCAAAGUCCUGCCAUGAGGACCGGCUCAGCGCCCUGCCGGACGACGUCCUGCACCAGGUCCUUGGCUUCCUGCAGGCGGAUGAGGCAGUGCGCACCUGCCUGCUCGCCAAGCGCUGGCGCUACCUUUGGAAAUCUAUGCGCCGUCUUCGCAUCAACGGAAGCGGGGGUGAGUGGUGGGGGAGCACUGACGUUUUCCUUACCAAGUUUGUGAGCUGCCUGUUGCUUCUCCGAGACCCUGGCUCGACUCUGGAUGAGGUCGAGAUCGAGUAUGCUAAUCAUUUUGGUGAUGAUCAUACUUGGAUAUCAACAUGGAUCCGUCAUGCUUUGUCAUGCCAAACUCAGGUCCUCACUGUCAAGUUCCCUUUGCCGGUGCACGUGGACCGCUAUUUGGAUGGCCCUCCUCUGGUCUCCCGGUAUUUAAGAAGAUUAGAGAUUUCUCAAGUGAGGUUGAAGAGCAACUUCCUAAAUUUUUCAAGCUGUUCAACACUGGAGGAUCUAAAGAUAAAAGACUGUGACUUAUAUGCUAGUAGCAUCCUGUCCCAGUCUGUAAAACAUCUGAGCAUCAAGGAUUGUUUUUUCAAGGAUGAUGUCCGGAUUAGUAUUUCUGUCCCAAAUCUUGUUUCUCUGCAACUCAGAUCAUAUGGAGGCAGAACCCCAUUUCUCGAAAGCAUGUCGUCAUUAGAAACCGCAGUUGUCAGUGUUGAAGUCUGGUCGGUGAAUUACUGUCGUAAAGGUUUUUUUGCUGGAGAGUGUUGUGGUACAUGUCUAGAUUGCUGUGGUAAUGGACACGGCUGCGUACUUCUUGGAGGUCUGUCUCGUGCUAAAAACUUGCAGUUGAUAGCUCAUCCGGAAAUGUUUAUUUUCAGAAGGGAUUUGAGAUGGUGCCCUACAUUUAGCAAGUUAAAGACAUUGUUGCUGAACGAGUGGUGUGUGCAACCUGACCUUCGUGCACUAGUUUGUAUGCUUGAACAUUCGCCGGUUCUUGAAAAUCUGACACUUCAAUUGUGUAAGCAAGAAAAACCUGCAUGUGCGGUGGAAGUGGAAGAAAAUCCUGGUUUGGUGGAGAAACCAGCGGCUAUUUCAGGAUACCUGAAGAUUAUUAGAGUGAAAUGUGAAGACGUUGAUGGCAGAGUUUGCAAAGUUCUGAACUUCUUGAGUACAUUUGGCAUUGAAAUUACUAUCCAACGGACCAAGGGAUAG